rnacentral:rRNA from 1 species
UACGUAGGUGUCAAGCGUUGUCCGGAUUUAUUGGGCGUAAAGCGCCCGCAGGCGGCUUGCCAAGUUCGAUGUGAAAUCUCCCGGCUCAACUGGGAGGGUGCAUCGAAAACUGGCAGGCUUGAGGCAGGGAGAGGGAUGUGGAAUUCCAGGUGUAGUGGUGGAAUGCGUAGAUAUCGGGAGGAACACCAGUGGCGAAGGCGGCUCUCUGGACCGGUCCUGACGCUCAGGCGCGAAAGCGUGGGGAGCGAUCCGG